UACAGAGGCCCCAAGCGUUGUUCGGAUUUACUGGGCGUAAAGGGUGCGUAGGCGGUGGGGCAAGUUUGAGGUGAAAGCUCCGGGCUCAACCCGGAAAAUGCCUUGAAAACUAUCCGGCUAGAGGGUUGGAGGGGAGACUGGAAUUCUCGGUGUAGCAGUGAAAUGCGUAGAUCUCGAGAGGAACACCAGUGGCGAAGGCGGGUCUCUGGACAACACCUGACGCUGAGGCACGAAAGCCAGGGGAGCAAACGGG
rnacentral:rRNA from 1 species